GCCUUGAUGGUGAAAUGGUAAACACAAUUGAUUCAAAAUCAAUCGCCUAUCCAAGGUUUAGAGGUUCGAAUCCUCUUCAAGGCA
rnacentral:tRNA from 1 species